rnacentral:rRNA from 1 species
UACGUAGGGACCGAGCGUUGUCCGGAAUCAUUGGGCGUAAAGGGCGCGUAGGCGGCGGGGUAAGUCGGGUGUGAAAUCUCAGAGCUCAACUCUGAAACUGCACUCGAUACUGCUCUGCUUGAGGACUGGAGAGGAGACUGGAAUUCACGGUGUAGCAGUGAAAUGCGUAGAUAUCGUGAGGAAGACCAGUGGCGAAGGCGGGUCUCUGGACAGUUCCUGACGCUGAGGCGCGAAGGCCAGGGGAGCAAACGGG